AUUGAACGCUGGCGGCAGGCCUAACACAUGCAAGUCGAACGAGUGGCGGAGGGGUGAGUAAUGUCUGGGACACUGCCUGAUUGCUGGGGAUAACUACUGGAAACGGUAGCUAAUACCGCAUACCAUCGGAUGUUCCCAGAUGGGAUUAGCUAGUCGGUGGGGGAAAGGCUCACCUAGGCGACGCUCCCUAGCUGGUCUGAGAGGAUGACCAGCCAGACUGGAACGGAGACACGGUGCAGACUCCUACGGGAGGCAGCAGUGGGGAAUAUUGCACAAGGGGCGCAAGCCUGAUGCAGCCAGGGCGGGGGUAUGAAGAAGGCCUUCGGGUUGUAAAGUACUUUCAGCGGGGAGGCGUUACCCGCAGAAGAAGCACCGGCUAACUCCGUGCCAGCAGCCGCGGUAAUUC
rnacentral:rRNA from 1 species